rnacentral:rRNA from 1 species
AUUGAACGCUGGCGGAAUGCUUUACACAUGCAAGUCGAGCGGCAGCGCGGGGCAACCUGGCGGCGAGCGGCGAACGGGUGAGUAACAUAUCGGAACGUACCCAGUCGUGGGGGAUAACUAUCCGAAAGGAUAGCUAAUACCGCAUACGACCUGAGGGUGAAAGCGGGGGACCGAAAGGCCUCGCGCGAUUGGAGCGGCCGAUAUCGGAUUAGCUAGUUGGUGAGGUAAAGGCUCACCAAGGCGACGAUCCGUAGCUGGUCUGAGAGGACGACCAGCCACACUGGAACUGAGACACGGUCCAGACUCCUACGGGAGGCAGCAGUGGGGAAUUUUGGACAAUGGGGGGCAACCCUGAUCCAGCCAUUCCGCGUGAGUGAAGAAGGCCUUCGGGUUGUAAACCGCUUUAACCGGAAGAAAGGCAUCUCUUAAUACGGGUGUUCUUGACGGUACCGGUGGAAUAAGCACCGGCUAACUACGUGCCAGCAGCCGC